rnacentral:tRNA from 1 species
GCCUCUGUAGCUCAGUUGGUUAGAGCGCUGCACCGGAAUCGCAGGGCCGUAGGUUCGAUUCCUGCCAGGGACC